GCAUUCAACUUUCCAUUAUGUGAUGGGGGCCACGGGUUUUCCUGAAAACAGAAGUUUUAAAAAAUUGAGGAGCUGAAGGAAAAAUGACUUUUGUGUACAGCCCAUUAACUUCUGUGUGCUGAGCACACAGCCGCUCCCACUGCGCAAACAGAAGAACUUUUAUGCCGCAUCGAAGCGGACCAGCCGAGGACUUGCACGAACACGGAGAAUGGGGAAAGCCUUUCCUAAAUUUCCUAUUCUGCAGCAGCCUGCUUUCCUGUGGCUUCAGCGAAGUACCACCACACACCUUUUCUUCUCCAGGGAAUCAAGAAGUCACUGGUGAUUACACCAUAAAUAUUAACCAGGUUGAACCUGCCAGAGGCAUCACACGGGAGCAUGGGGAGAAAGUUCCUGCCUUGAGAUUCUUGGAAGUACAGAUAAAUGACCAGACUUUAAGCUUCUUAAAGGAGCCUUCCUUGAAAUUCUCGAGGCACAAUGUACGUAUGAUCUGUAGUUGUUACCACUCUGUUCCUUUGUUGUUGGAGAUAUGGAGUAUUUUUUCAGUUUCUUGCAAUUUUCUUUUGUCUCACACUUGUGAUGGGUGUAAGAGCUUUCCUGCUUCCCACUGAAUCCCAUCAGCAUCAGCUUGGAGAAGGGUCCACACUAUUGGUGGCGUUGCAAGCAAGGGCUCCUAGAGAUAUGAUGGGAGAAGACAGUGAUGAGAUGAGACCUCCUUACAGCACGCCUGUGUACAUUUCUGCUCUCAGCCAGAGUCAAGUUAGUGCAGUAUGUUUCUGAGAGACAACUUUGUAGAAGAUCACCGGUAAAGUGUGAAAAUAUCACUGCCAGCAAGCAAGAAGAUCAUCUUUUUUUCAUUUUCUUUUUUAACCUCUUCUUCUUUUUCCUAUUUCAUCUUGGAAGAGGAAAGUAUGACUGUUUAAAGAGUUACUUUGCAAAGGCAGAAUGUGCUGAAAUGCAAAGCAAGGAACCCCUCUGAGAAGAGAUAUCGGUCUUAUAUCGAGUUGCCAGCUGAGAUUAUCUGGAGUGGAUAUC
ensembl:lncRNA